rnacentral:rRNA from 1 species
GAUGAACGCUAGCGGCAGGCUUAAUACAUGCAAGUCGAGGGGUAACAUGGUAGCAAUACUGAUGACGACCGGCAAACGGGUGCGGAACACGUACAGAACCUUCCUUUAAGCGGGGGAUAGCCCAUAGAAAUGUGGAUUAAUACCCCAUAGUAAUAUUGUCUGGCAUCAGAUGGUAUUUAAAGAUUUAUCACUUAAAGAUGGCUGUGCGGCUGAUUAGGUAGUUGGUGGGGUAACGGCCCACCAAGCCAGCGAUCAGUAACUGGUGUGAGAGCACGACCAGUCACACGGGCACUGAGACACGGGCCCGACU